rnacentral:rRNA from 1 species
CGGUGAAUACGUUCCCGGGCCUUGUACACACCGCCCGUCAAGCCAUGAAAGCUGGGAGUAUCUAAAGUCGGUAGCCGUAAGGCGCCGCCUAGGGUAAAACCGGUGAUUGGGGCUAAGUCGUAACAAGGUACCC